GGAGGCGUUUGUCAGCUGGUGCUGGCCGCGGUCUUCAAAACCGUUGGACGCGGUGCAAUCGCGUCGGUGGGUUCGAUUCCCAUCCGCCUCCGCCA
rnacentral:tRNA from 1 species